GAUAGUGGAGAGAAGGUUGGAGAGGAGUUGGAGGACCUAGAAAGAGAGGAGGGCGGAGGUCGUGCGCUGCAGUGGCUAGGAGGAGGGGUGGGUCGACGGGAGGGUCAACUCAAGCUCUUGAACUGGUAAUGGGCCAGAUAAUGGCUGCAUAUCAGAUGCACCAGGAUUAUAACUAUUAGUUAGUUUACUUGCACCUAUAGCUGUAUGUCUCCGCACUAAAUAAUUUAUUAUUUUCAGAUCAUGCAAAUUCAAAGCUAGCAAAAAUGGAUUGAAGAAGAUGAUUGAAGAUCAAGCUGAAGGGAUUAAAGAAAAAGAUUGGAUUGGCUGGAGGAAGAUUUGCCUCAUCAUGGUUUCAUGUCUUUAAAGUGGUUAGCUCACAGAUGCUCAGAAUUGGAGGCCAGUUAAAUAGAAGAGGAGAGAAUGGAAGAAGAUGAGGAGAUGGGAGCGGAGGAAGAGAUACCGGAGAUACAGACAGUGCAAGAAUGGACAGGAGCUGAGGAAGUCACAGACGCUGGGAAAGACACAGAUGCUGAGGAAGACAGGGACGCUGAGGAAGAGACUGGAACUGAGCAAGAGACUGGAGCUGAGGAAGAGACAGAAGCAAAGGAUGAAGGGAUGGGAACGGAGGAGGAGACCUAAGCGAAGGAAGAGACCGAAGUGAAGGAAGGGUGACAUGGAAACGCCUCAACACGGAAACGACUC